AUGAAAGAUGAAAACAAGUUAUCUCAGGAAGGUAUAGAAUUCUUCCUUGAGAAUGACAGCAUUAAAAAGGCAAUUAAAUUAAGCCAAGAAGAUGAGAAGAAACACAUGCCAGCUCUUGGCAUGACAUUUGAAAGUGAUGCUCAUGCACACCGAUUCUACAAUGAAUAUUCAGCUAUUGCUGGGUUCUCAAUUCAGAAAGCUGCAAACUAUCACUGCCAGAAAAAAGAUGCACACAACAACAAAAUGACGAGGUUCACUAUGAAGUGUAACAGAUCUGGUAAACCUAGGAUAAGGAUAAAACCAACAGCUGCAGGAGCAAAAAGGAGAAAGUAUAAGACUGCUAAGAAUGCACCAACUGAGCUAGAGAAUACGACAGACAGAAGAAGAAACUACACAAUUAAAACAGACUGUCAAGCUCAGAUGGUUGUUAUCUGGAAAUUCGAUAUAGCACAGUGGGUGGUGACAAGGCUUAUCAUUGAGCACAACCAUGAUCUACACCCACCAGGGGAAGUCAGGUUCCUUAGGUCACACAAAUAUAUCACUGAGCAAGAGAAGGACUUAAUCAGAACAUGCAAACGAGUGAACAUACCAACUAGAAAGAAAAUGGCAAUAAUGGCGUUCUUUCGAGGAAGAGAGCCUUCUUCGUUGCCAUAUACAGCAAAACUGAUUAGCAGCAUGGGCACGAAAAUGAGAAGAGAUAAUGGCUUGAAUGACAUGAUGCAGGUGGUCUCAUUUUUUGAACAGAAAAAAUCAGAAGAUCCUCUGUUCUUCUACUCAUUCAAAACCGAUCCAGCUAAGAAUGUCAUGCAUAUAUUUUGGGCAGAUGGCACUGGUAUAAGGAACUAUCAACAAUAUGGUAAUCUCCUAAGUUUUGAUACAACUUACAAAACAAACAAGUAUAAUCUAAAAUUUGCUCCAUUUGUGGGUGUAAAUGGACACGGAGACAACUGCCUCUUUGCAUGUGGUUUCAUACAAGAUGAGAAGAAGGAAACUUUCGAGUGGUUAUACAAACUUUUCUGA
rnacentral:rRNA from 1 species